AAGACUAUACUUUUAGGGAUUAUUUCUAUAGUUCAUUAAAAGUAAAAAUGGAAAUGAAUAGAACCAGUAGCUGUGAUGGGGUCACAUGCUGUCUGAAAAGC
rnacentral:snoRNA from 1 species